ACUGGGGCUGCAGGACACAAAGACAACCUGGGAUGGGGACGGGGGAACCAAGAGGGCCAAAACCCCCAAGUGCGGGAUACCAGAGUUACGUGCAGCAUCUCAGCGGUACAGGACGCUCCGGGGCAACAGCAGUCUUGAUUCACUGAUUUUGAAUCUGCAAGUUCCUGAAGCUUCAGCUGGAGUCAACAGGUGUCCAGGGCACUGGGAAAUGAUCUACAGAGAGUCAACAGGACCAGGCUGCAUCCCUCUGGAGUGAACAAACGACACCAGGAAGCGUUGGGAUUUGGGAAGAGCAGGAGUGUUCAGCAUAAAGGGAAGAGG